UACAGAGGGCUCAAGCGUUGUUCGGAUUCAUUGGGCGUAAAGGAUACGUAGGUGGCGCCGUAAGUCGGGUGUGAAAUUUCGGAGCUUAACUCCGAAACUGCAUUCGAUACUGCGGUGCUUGAGGACUGGAGAGGAGACUGGAAUUCAUGGUGUAGCAGUGAAAUGCGUAGAGAUCAUGAGGAAGACCAGUGGCGAAGGCGGGUCUCUGGACAGUUCCUGACACUGAGGCACGAAGGCCAGGGGAGCAAACGGG
rnacentral:rRNA from 1 species